rnacentral:rRNA from 1 species
GACGAACGCUGGCGGCGUGCUUAACACAUGCAAGUCGAACGGAAAGGCCCUGCUUUUGUGGGGUGCUCGAGUGGCGAACGGGUGAGUAACACGUGAGUAACCUGCCCUUGACUUUGGGAUAACUUCAGGAAACUGGGGCUAAUACCGGAUAGGAGCUCCUGCUGCAUGGUGGGGGUUGGAAAGUUUCGGCGGUUGGGGAUGGACUCGCGGCUUAUCAGCUUGUUGGUGGGGUAGUGGCUUACCAAGGCUUUGACGGGUAGCCGGCCUGAGAGGGUGACCGGCCACAUUGGGACUGAGGUACGGCCCAGAGUCCUACGGGAGGCAGCAGUGGGGAAUAUUGCACAAUGGGCGGAAGCCUGAUGCAGCAACGCCGCGUGCGGGAUGACGGCCUUCGGGUUGUAAACCGCUUUCGCCUGUGACGAGGCGUGAGUGACGGUAAUGGGUAAAGAAGCACCGGCUAACUACGUG